GACGAACGCUGGCGGCGUGCUUAACACAUGCAAGUCGAACGGAAAGGCCCUGCUUUUGUGGGGUGCUCGAGUGGCGAACGGGUGAGUAACACGUGAGUAACCUGCCCUUGACUUUGGGAUAACUUCAGGAAACUGGGGCUAAUACCGGAUAGGAGCUCCUGCUGCAUGGUGGGGGUUGGAAAGUUUCGGCGGUUGGGGAUGGACUCGCGGCUUAUCAGCUUGUUGGUGGGGUAGUGGCUUACCAAGGCUUUGACGGGUAGCCGGCCUGAGAGGGUGACCGGCCACAUUAGGACUGAGAUACGGCCCAGACUCCUACGGUAGGCAGCAGUGGGGAAUAUUGCACAAUGGGCGGAAGCCUGAUGCAGCAACGCCGCGUGCGGGAUGACGGCCUUCGGGUUGUAAACCGCUUUCGCCUGUGACGAAGCGUGAGUGACGGUAAUGGGUAAAGAAGCACCGGCUAACUACGUG
rnacentral:rRNA from 1 species